UGGGGAAUAUUGGACAAUGGGCGAAAGCCUGAUCCAGCCAUGCCGCGUGUGAGAAGAAGGUCUUCGGAUUGUAAAGCACUUUAAGUUGGGAGGAAGGGCAGUAAGCGAAUACCUUGCUGUUUUGACGUUACCGACAGAAUAAGCACCGGCUAACUCUGUGCCAGCAGCCGCGGUAAUACAGAGGGUGCAAGCGUUAAUCGGAAUUACUGGGCGUAAAGCGCGCGUAGGUGGUUCGUUAAGUUGAAUGUGAAAGCCCCGGGCUCAACCUGGGAACUGCAUCCAAAACUGGCGAGCUAGAGUAGGGCAGAGGGUGGUGGAAUUUCCUGUGUAGCGGUGAAAUGCGUAGAUAUAGGAAGGAACACCAGUGGCGAAGGCGACCACCUGGGCUCAUACUGACACUGAGGUGCGAAAGCGUGGGGAGCAAACAG
rnacentral:rRNA from 1 species